GUUAAAGUAGUUUAUUAAAAAAUAAGGAGUUGUGGAUUCCUAGAACCUAUUAGGCUUUAACU
rnacentral:tRNA from 1 species